CCAUCUCAACACAGCUGUGCCAAUUCUGCAGCUUUAUUCUGAUGAAGCGAGCCUUUGGCAGUCUGAAACAUGCUUGCGCUCUAUUUUCUUCAAGGCCUGAGGGGGACAUCAUUGAGCCAGAGGAUGAGGAAGACCAUGAGGAUGCCCCCCUGAACAACACAACCUUGAAGCAAGAGUGGGUGAACAUGUACCGGACUCACACUGUGUCUGCUCCAAACAUUUGUGUGCCUGCUCUCAAUGAGCAUGACUACCUGUAAAACAUUUAAACAGGUCCUGCUCCACCACAAAAGCUCUGCAGCAAA